AUUGAACGCUGGCGGCAUGCCUUACACAUGCAAGUCGAACGGCAGCACGGGUGCUUGCACCUGGUGGCGAGUGGCGAACGGGUGAGUAAUAUAUCGGAACGUACCUUAUCGUGGGGGAUAACGCAGCGAAAGCUGCGCUAAUACCGCAUACGCCCUGAGGGGGAAAGCGGGGGACCGUAAGGCCUCGCGCGAUUAGAGCGGCCGAUAUCUGAUUAGCUUGUUGGUGGGUAAAGCCCACCAAGGCGACGAUCAGUAGCUGGUCUGAGAGGACGAUCAGCCACACUGGGACUGAGACACGGCCCAGACUCCUACGGGAGGCAGCAGUGGGGAAUAUUGCACAAUGGGCGAAAGCCUGAUGCAGCGACGCCGCGUGAGUGAAGAAGUAUUUCGGUAUGUAAAGCUCUAUCAGCAAGGAAGAUAAUGACGGUACUUGACUAAGAAGCCCCGGCUAACUACGUG
rnacentral:rRNA from 1 species